rnacentral:rRNA from 1 species
GGUUAAGCGACUAAGCGUACACGGUGGAUGCCCUGGCAGUCAGAGGCGAUGAAGGACGUGCUAAUCUGCGAAAAGCGUCGGUAAGGUGAUAUGAACCGUUAUAGCCGGCGAUGUCCGAAUGGGGAAACCCAGUGCAAUUCGUUGCACUAUCGUUAACUGAAUACAUAGGUUAACGAGGCGAACCGGGGGAACUGAAACAUCUAAGUACCCCGAGGAAAAGAAAUCAACCGAGAUUCCCCCAGUAGCGGCGAGCGAACGGGGAGCAGCCCAGAGUCUGAAUCAGCUUGUGUGUUAGUGGAACGGUCUGGAAAGUCCGACGGUACAGGGUGAUAGUCCCGUACACCAAAAUGCACAGGUUGUGAACUCGAAGAGUAGGGCGGGACACGUGGUAUCCUGUCUGAAUAUGGGGGGACCAUCCUCCAAGGCUAAAUACUCCUGACUGACCGAUAGUGAACCAGUACCGUGAGGGAAAGGCGAAAAGAACCCCGGCGAGGGGAGUGAAAAAGAACCUGAAACCGUGUACGUACAAGCAGUGGGAGCACCUUCGGGUGUGACUGCGUACCUUUUGUAUAAUGGGUCAGCGACUUAUAUUCUGUAGCAAGGUUAACCGUAUAGGGGAGCCGCAGGGAAACCGAGUCUUAACUGGGCGUUAAGUUGCAGGGUAUAGACCCGAAACCCGGUGAUCUAGCCAUGGGCAGGUUGAAGGUUGGGUAACACUAACUGGAGGACCGAACCGACUAAUGUUGAAAAAUUAGCGGAUGACUUGUGGCUGGGGGUGAAAGGCCAAUCAAACCGGGAGAUAGCUGGUUCUCCCCGAAAGCUAUUUAGGUAGCGCCUCGUGAACUCAUCUUCGGGGGUAGAGCACUGUUUCGGCUAGGGGGUCAUCCCGACUUACCAACCCGAUGCAAACUACGAAUACCGAAGAAUGUUAUCACGGGAGACACACGGCGGGUGCUAACGUCCGUCGUGAAGAGGGAAACAACCCAGACCGCCAGCUAAGGUCCCAAAGUCAUGGUUAAGUGGGAAACGAUGUGGGAAGGCACAGACAGCCAGGAUGUUGGCUUAGAAGCAGCCAUCAUUUAAAGAAAGCGUAAUAGCUCACUGGUCGAGUCGGCCUGCGCGGAAGAUGUAACGGGGCUAAACCAUGCACCGAAGCUGCGGCAGCGACACUAUGUGUUGUUGGGUAGGGGAGCGUUCUGUAAGCCUGCGAAGGUGACCUGUGAGGGUUGCUGGAGGUAUCAGAAGUGCGAAUGCUGACAUAAGUAACGAUAAAGCGGGUGAAAAGCCCGCUCGCCGGAAGACCAAGGGUUCCUGUCCAACGUUAAUCGGGGCAGGGUGAGUCGACCCCUAAGGCGAGGCCGAAAGGCGUAGUCGAUGGGAAACAGGUUAAUAUUCCUGUACUUGGUGUUACUGCGAAGGGGGGACGGAGAAGGCUAUGUUAGCCGGGCGACGGUUGUCCCGGUUUAAGCAUGUAGGCUGAUUGUCCAGGCAAAUCCGGAUAAUCAAGGCUGAGGUGUGAUGACGAGGCACUACGGUGCUGAAGUAACAAAUGCCCUGCUUCCAGGAAAAGCCUCUAAGCAUCAGGUAACAUUAAAUCGUACCCCAAACCGACACAGGUGGUCAGGUAGAGAAUACCAAGGCGCUUGAGAGAACUCGGGUGAAGGAACUAGGCAAAAUGGUGCCGUAACUUCGGGAGAAGGCACGCUGGUGUGUAGGUGAAGCCCCUGCGGGUGGAGCUGAGACCAGUCGAAGAUACCAGCUGGCUGCAACUGUUUAUUAAAAACACAGCACUGUGCAAACACGAAAGUGGACGUAUACGGUGUGACGCCUGCCCGGUGCCGGAAGGUUAAUUGAUGGGGUUAUCCGUAAGGAGAAGCUCUUGAUCGAAGCCCCGGUAAACGGCGGCCGUAACUAUAACGGUCCUAAGGUAGCGAAAUUCCUUGUCGGGUAAGUUCCGACCUGCACGAAUGGCGUAAUGAUGGCCAGGCUGUCUCCACCCGAGACUCAGUGAAAUUGAACUCGCUGUGAAGAUGCAGUGUACCCGCGGCAAGACGGAAAGACCCCGUGAACCUUUACUAUAGCUUGACACUGAACAUUGAGCCUUGAUGUGUAGGAUAGGUGGGAGGCUUUGAAGCGUGGACGCCAGUCUGCGUGGAGCCAACCUUGAAAUACCACCCUUUAAUGUUUGAUGUUCUAACGUUGGCCCCUUACCGGGGUUGCGGACAGUGUCUGGUGGGUAGUUUGACUGGGGCGGUCUCCUCCCAAAGCGUAACGGAGGAGCACGAAGGUUAGCUAAUCCUGGUCGGACAUCAGGAGGUUAGUGCAAUGGCAUAAGCUAGCUUGACUGCGAGCGUGACGGCGCGAGCAGGUGCGAAAGCAGGUCAUAGUGAUCCGGUGGUUCUGAAUGGAAGGGCCAUCGCUCAACGGAUAAAAGGUACUCCGGGGAUAACAGGCUGAUACCGCCCAAGAGUUCAUAUCGACGGCGGUGUUUGGCACCUCGAUGUCGGCUCAUCACAUCCUGGGGCUGAAGUAGGUCCCAAGGGUAUGGCUGUUCGCCAUUUAAAGUGGUACGCGAGCUGGGUUUAGAACGUCGUGAGACAGUUCGGUCCCUAUCUGCCGUGGGCGCUGGAGAAUUGAGGGGGGCUGCUCCUAGUACGAGAGGACCGGAGUGGACGCAUCACUGGUGUUCGGGUUGUCAUGCCAAUGGCACUGCCCGGUAGCUAAAUGCGGAAGAGAUAAGUGCUGAAAGCAUCUAAGCACGAAACUUGCCCCGAGAUGAGUUCUCCCUGAGACUUUAAGUCUCCUGAAGGAACGUUAAAGACGAUGACGUUGAUAGGCCGGGUGUGUAAGCGCAGCGAUGCGUUGAGCUAACCGGUACUAAUGAACCGUGAGGCUUAACCUUAC